AGUGAGCUGGAGCUUUAGGCUUCUUGGAAACAUUGAUCAGUCAGGUCUAUUCCAGGGGUUUUAGCUGCCACAGUGAAAGGUUCACAUCUGGCUUCUCCUGGUGAUCAACCUUAAGCUUGCAACUGUCAGAGCACAGUACAGGGAUCACGUCUGAAGGAAAACAUCUUCCUAGGUGGCAGCCACAUGGUUGCCAUUCAAUAAUUCAAGAUCCAGUUUGCAUGCACGGCUGAUCCUGCUUGUCACAUCUCACAUGAUCACAAGCUCAUCGCUCUAUAAAUGAAGCAAGGUGGCAUGUUCAAGAAAUCUUUCCCCUUCUCUAAGUGGCUUUUUGCAGUGCUGAGCAUUCACAGAAUGGGAGACUGUCCCCACAUGUAUCUGUCCUGAGAGUUUUAAUCUAAUAAUGUAUUUUAAAAUAACAAGGUUUGAGUUCAUUUCACUUUCCUGUAGGAUGUAAUUGCUUUGUGUUUCCAAGCUUUCAUCUACAACCAGGAAGGACAGAGAAUUUUUUUUAAAGUAAAGCUGUGAAUCUCCUUUAAUCUCUUAGUUCAGAUAGUGUGAGGCAGCAGAGAACUUUGAUUUUUGGAGUCUUGGCUCCCCACUUCUCACUCUACCCACCAUGCUGAUGUUCAGUAGAAGUUAAGAUGUCAGUUAUAAUUUCUCUAUCUGUUCCUUUAACAUAUCUGAGAAAUCUCUUUUGAGGCUGGCUACAAUUUAUUCUUUUGAUCUACUCCCACCUUCGAGAGUGUACAAACAUUUAUGCGUCCAUUUAGACUGGUUUGCUACCCUGUCUUGCCUAGGGUUAUAUUUCUGACUUGGUGCUUUCUGUUUUGAUUGAGGUGGUAUCUUGGUGGGUCUCAUCGUCUUCUUGGUUCAAAGAACAAUUCAUGAUUUGUUUGUGUCCAGAGAAUGAAUGUCUUUGUAUGAUAUGCUGGGGGGUAAAUAUCCCUCCCGGCUGAUUGAUAGUCUUAUUAAAAAUUGCAGUGGGUGAAAUAAUCCCCUGUAGCUUCACAAGGAUAAGACCCUUUUCUCUUUUCCCAUCAGAUUGGCUCUAGGGUUGCUGGGGACAUGGCUUGUGCUCCAUCCAAUCUUGUAGCAUUACUUAAUUAGCCUUUAUUAAAAUCUGUUAGCUCUGUUCAACUCUUGGACAGUUUAUUACAGAAGAUGUCCAAAGUGUAUGAUUUAUCUGAAAAAAUAAAAUGCAAAUUCAUUCAGUCCAAAACAGAGUGAAAAUUUGCAAAUUCAAGUCUAGUAAUCUUUUGCUACUCUUGUACUGUUGGUAUUAUUUUAUAAUUAAGUUAAGCAAAGGCAUAUCAUCCACAAUAUGCAGAAAGAUGAAGAAAGAGCAGGGAUAGCUGGAUUCCUCAGUUACACAAUUUCUUCUCUGAAUUUUGCAUAUAUUUUUUUUUUCCUAUUGAAAUUUUUGGUCUUUUAAAGGGCUUCUUUGCAGUUUCCUACCCUGUGGUCCAUCACGAGUUGUGCCCUUGAUGCUGUCUUCCUCCUUCUUCCUCUGUACCUGUCUGCUGGGGACAACCUUCUGAACUCUGUUGCCAUCGUUCCAUAGAACCCUCACUGUUCAUUUCUUUUCCAGGCAUCUCCCAGGGAAAUUUAUCACCCAGUCCCCUCCCGGUCUGAACAUCCUUUCUAAAUUAAUAAUUAGAGAGCAAACAAAAUUUGUACACAAAAUCAUAGAAUGACUUGGGUGGGAAGGGACUUCAAAGAUCAUCUAGUUCAACUCCCCCUGCCAUGGGCAUUGCUGCCAACCACUUAGUCAGGCACUAGAUCGGGUUGCCCAGGGCCCCAUGCAACCUGGCAUCGGGGUCCCAAACGUGUAUAGAUAUGUCCUAUUUAAUACAAGUGUGAACAUUCUUGCUAACAACAUGUUCAGCUGUUGUGUUUUCCUGACCCAAAGCGUGUGAAAAUCAGCAUGGAUUCCUCCUUUUUUGAUCACGGUUUUUGCUGCAAUCUUGAUCCUUCCUAUAAAAUGAUUUCUUUUUUCUUUUGUUUAUAAUGUGCUGCUGCAAUCAAUAUAAUAAAUUAGAUUAUAAUC
rnacentral:lncRNA from 7 species